GACAUGGAAGGAAACAUAAAAACAUCACUGAUAACGCUCACAGAUGACAGAAAAAUAAGGGAAGUGAUAAAUAAUGAAACAGGUUACAGAUUCAGAGUGAUCUGGAUCUCAUGGUAAACUGAGCACAAGCAAACAAUGUGUGUUCUACUGCAGUUAAAUGAAAAUGCAUACAACUAGGAACAAAGAACAUAGGGCAUAUUUACACAAUGGGGGACUCCAUCCUGGAAAGCAGUGACUCUGAAAAAGAUUUGUGGGAUGAGGGUGGAUAAUCAGCUGAAUAUGUGCUCCCAUGGGAAGCUGUAGCAAAAAGCGAUAAUGCGAUCCUGGGAUGCAUAAACAGAAGAUUCUUGAGUGGGGGGUAGAAAGGUUAUUUUACAUCUGUAUUCAGCCCUGGUGCAACCACCGUUGGAAUACGGUGUCCAGUUCUGGUGCCCACAAUUCAAAAAGG